GCCUAGCUAGCUCAAUCGGUAGAGCGUGAGACUCUUAAUCUCAAGGUUGUGGGUUCGACCCCCACGUUGGGCU
rfam:Rhizoclosmatium globosum strain JEL800 BCR33scaffold_97, whole genome shotgun sequence.